GGCCGCCUGGCGAAAUGGCAUCGCGUCUGACUACGAAAACGUCCCCUGAGAUGUUGAUGGAUCAGGAGAUUGCAGGUUCGACCCCUGCGGUGGUCA